rnacentral:rRNA from 1 species
GACGAACGCUGGCGGCGUGCUUAACACAUGCAAGUCGAACGAAGAGCGAUGGAAGCUUGCCUCUAUCAAUCUUAGUGGCGAACGGGUGAGUAACGCGUAAUCAACCUGCCCUUCAGAGGGGGACAACAGUUGGAAACGACUGCUAAUACCGCAUACGAUCCAAUCUCGGCAUCGAGACUGGAUGAAAGGUGGCCUCUAUUUAUAAGCUAUCACUGAAGGAGGGGAUUGCGUCUGAUUAGCUAGUUGGAGGGGUAACGGCCCACCAAGGCGAUGAUCAGUAGCCGGUCUGAGAGGAUGAACGGCCACAUUGGGGCUGAGACACGGCCCAGACUCCUACGGGAGGCAGCAGUGGGGAAUCUUCCGCAAUGGACGAAAGUCUGACGGAGCAACGCCGCGUGAGUGAUGACGGCCUUCGGGUUGUAAAGCUCUGUUAAUCGGGACGAAUGGUUCUUGUGCGAAUAGUGCGAGGAUUUGACGGUACCGGAAUAGAAAGCC